rnacentral:rRNA from 1 species
UAGUCCUGGCCGUAAACGAUGGGCACUAGAUUGAGGGCCUUCGGGCUUCUCUUUCGUAGCUAACGCGUUAAGUGCCCCGCCUGGGGAGUAUGCGCGCUAAGCGUAAAACUCAAAGGAAUUGACGGGGCUCACACAAGCGGUGGAGCAUGUGGUUUAAUUCGAAGCUACGCGAAGAACCUUACCCAGACUUGACAUGGACGGAUUAGUCUCCGGAAACGGAGAUGACGCCCUUCGGGGUGGAACGUUCACAGGUGUUGCAUGGCUGUCGUCAGCUCGUGUCGUGAGAUGUCGGGUUAAGUCCCUGAACGAGCGAAACCCCUGUUGUUAGUUGCCAGCACGUAAUGGUGGGGACUCUAACAAGACCGCCGUGGUUAACACGGAGGAAGGUGGGGACGACGUCAAGUCAUCAUGGCCCUUAUGUCUGGGGGCUACACACGUGCUACAAUGGGGUGGUACAGAGGGGCGCCAAUAUCGCGAGAUGGGAGGGAAUCCCUAAAGCCAUCCCUAGUUCGGGAUUGAAGGG